rnacentral:rRNA from 1 species
AUUGAACGCUGGCGGCAGGCCUAACACAUGCAAGUCGAGCGGAUGAAGGGAGCUUGCUCCUGGAUUCAGCGGCGGACGGGUGAGUAAUGCCUAGGUAUCUGCCUGGUAGUGGGGGAUAACGUCCGGAAACGGGCGCUAAUACCGCAUACGUCCUGAGGGAGAAAGUGGGGGAUCUUCGGACCUCACGCUAUCAGAUGAGCCUAGGUCGGAUUAGCUAGUUGGUGGGGUAAAGGCCUACCAAGGCGACGAUCCGUAACUGGUCUGAGAGGAUGAUCAGUCACACUGGAACUGAGACACGGUCCAGACUCCUACGGGAGGCAGCAGUGGGGAAUAUUGGACAAUGGGCGAAAGCCUGAUCCAUCCAUGCCGCGUGUGUGAAGAAGGUCUUCGGAUUGUAAAGCACUUUAAGUUGGGAGGAAGGGCAGUAAGUUAAUACCUUGCUGUUUUGACGUUACCAACAGAAUAAGCACCGGCUAACUUCGUG